rnacentral:rRNA from 1 species
CCCUUAGUUGCCAGCAUUUAGUUGGGCACUCUAAGGGGACUGCCGGUGAUAAGCCGAGAGGAAGGUGGGGAUGACGUCAAGUCCUCAUGGCCCUUACGGGCUGGGCUACACACGUGCUACAAUGGUGGUGACAGUGGGCAGCGAGCACGCGAGUGUGAGCUAAUCUCCAAAAGCCAUCUCAGUUCGGAUUGCACUCUGCAACUCGAGUGCAUGAAGUUGGAAUCGCUAGUAAUCGCGGUCAGCAGCCGCGG